GGAACACCCCGGAGUCACGGCGGGGACUCCAACUACAGGAUCCGGAAAUGCAUCUGCCGCUUCCAGCAGCCCUGGGUCCCUGGGCCGAGUGACAACGCUGCAGCACGUGAGGGGAGCCUCUCAGAAAGAGCUGUACAAGAGUAAAGAGACAAAGGAGAUCUAUGAAUCCUCAGUACUGCUGGGUAAAGGUGUUUAUCAGCGUUGCUGAGGUCCCCCCUCAGCCUUGCCCAGCCUGAACGGCCCCAGGUCCCGCAGCCUUUCCUCCGAAAUGUUCCGUGUUUGGGCUCUUUCUGCUGCAGGCUGCAGCGGGGCUGCCGCCAGAUCCAACCUGAAGGUUGAGGAAAACGCAGAACCACGAGUCUGCUCCUCAGGAGGCUGCCGAGACCUGCCGCCCCCCGCGCUGACGCCCCAGAGCGAGCGGGACGCGGCGGCCGCUCAGGCACACGCGCCGGGAGGCAGAGCAGCUUCCAGCACAGAGGAGAACCCAGAGCACCGGGGGAGAUCCUUUCUCACCAGCAAACCCACACGGGACAGGGACUGUGCCUGGAGUGUAACGAGACUUCCCAGUGUGAGACGGGGCUGCGGAAGCACCGGCAGCAGCUGCUCUACAUCUGCACCGACUGCGGGUGCAGCUUCGGCUGCUACACGGCUGUGAUGCUGCACCACCGCCGGCACCCGGGGCAGCGCCAACCCCACUGCUCCCACCGCACCAGCAGCUGCCUGGAGAUGCCCAGCAGCUGCCUGGAGACCCCCAGCCUCAGCCCUCCCCUGCCAGCUCACUGCCUCUGCGUGUAACCAUCGCGCCGGAGCUUCCCCAGGACGGGUUCGGCUGGUGCGGGUCAGGAUGUCCCUCCCCAGCCAGAGCUGAUGGCUCCCAGGUGUGGACUGAUUGUAGAGGAAGCUUUGGAUAAGACAGUUUUAGCAAACUGAGUCAAGUUCAAGCAUGAAGGGCCAGUGGCAUCCUGGGGGCAUCCAGCAGAGUGUGGGCAGCAGGGCCAGGGAGGUUGUGCUGCCCCUCUGCUCUGCCCUGCUGAGGCCUCAGCUGGAGCCCUGUGCCCAGUGCUGGGCUCCCCAGCUGCAGAGAGACAGGGAACUGCUGGAGAGAGGCCAGGGAGGGCUCCCAGGGUGCUGAGGGAUGGAAGGUGUGUGUGAGGAGGAAAGGCUGAGAGAUUCUGAGAGUGUGGUCUCACCUCUGCCCAACACAUGGUCGAAGCAUCCGAGUCCGUUGUUACUCCCACUGACAGCGGGUGACCUGCCCCCUGCCAGAGGGUUUGCAGAGCUUUGUCAUUAGAGGUGAUUUCUGUGAUAA